rnacentral:rRNA from 1 species
GUAGGUGGCAAACGUUUGUCCGAAAUUACUGGGCGUAAAGGGCGAGUAGGCGGGCUGAUAAGUCGGAUGUGAAAUCCUACGGCUCAACCGUAGAACUGCAUUCGAUACUGUCGGCCUUGAGUACUGGAGAGGAAAGCGGAACUCAUGGUGUAGCGGUAAAAUGCGUAGAUAUCAUGAGGAACACCGGUGGCGAAGGCGGCUUUCUGGCCAGAUACUGACGCUGAUCCGCGAAAGCCAGGGUAGCGAACGGGGGAUUAGAUACCCCGGUAGUCCUGGCUGUAAACGAUGGGCACUAGGUGUGGGAAGCAUUGACCCCUUUCCGUGCCGCAGCUAACGCAUUAAGUGCCCCCGCCUGGGAAGUACGAUCGCAAGGUUG